rfam:Hyaloperonospora arabidopsidis Emoy2 Contig116.7, whole genome shotgun sequence.
GGGCGCAUAGCUCAGUGGUAGCGCGUCCGCUUUGCAAGCGGAAGGCCCCGGGUUCAAUCCCCGGUGUGUCCA